rnacentral:lncRNA from 1 species
GCACGCUGUGUCUCAAACCGGAGCAGGUCCUGGUCCUGCAGUAUCCGAGCUCCGAGCGCGGAGUCUGCGCCGCAAAGUGCCCCAAGUUUAGCUACCGGGACGGUGUCCACGUCUGCAGAGAUUGUGACCCGUCCUGUCUGCAGUGCUCCGGUCCGUCCGCAGACUCCUGCCUGUCCUGUCCCUCUCUCAGCACUCUGCUCGAGGGACGCUGCGUGCCCCAGUGUCCAGAAGGGGGCUACAGCGAGGAGGGCGUCUGCCAAGAUUGCCACCCCUCCUGCCUCUCCUGCUCGGGACCAUCUCAGGCCGACUGCACGGCCUGUCCCCCCGGAGCCUCUCUGCACAGCGGCUACUGCAGGACGCCCUGUGGGGAGGGCCAGUACCUCAGCUCCACCACCGGGACCUGCGCCAAAUGCAGUGCGGACUGUCAGCGCUGCACUGCUGACCUCCACUCACCGGGGGGCAGCGUAUGUCUGUGGUGUCG